GAAACGGCUACCACAUCCAAGGAAGGCAGCAGGCGCGCAAAUUACCCAAUCCCGAUACGGGGAGGUAGUGACAAGAAAUAACAAUACCGGGCCCUUUCGAGUCUGGUAAUUGGAAUGAGUACAAUCUAAACCCCUUAACGAGGAUCCAUUGGAGGGCAAGUCUGGUGAACAUAACAACAAUGCUGUUGACGCCAGAGAUAGUGGGGCGCCGGCGGUGUUCGCCGGUGUUAUGCCUGCUAGUCGAGCAGCCGAUCGCAAGGAUCAGGUAGGCUGCCGGCAAGGUGACCUGGAACGGGGAAGGCCUUCAGCCCCUGUGUGGGCCCGGAUAAUCCCGUGGCGAGCUUGUAUAGAGCGAUCUUUACAAAGCCGUCGUAACGCACGCUAAGGCACCGGCGGGCUCUCAGAGUCUGCUCAAGGGAUGUGCUAAGCCCACCCGAUGACAAAGGGUGCUUCGAACAAUAGUUCCUGAUCAACGAAGGUUCGAGGGGGCCAUAGUGUGCAGAGGAAAUGCUGCUCACUGCCCGGUAUUUCAGCUAUCAACGUUGGAUAGGUGAAUCAUUCAAGCCAGGAAACUGAAUGGCAAGUCGUCCAAAGCUGCUGAAAAGGCAUGUGCAUCGAACAACCACUGUGACACAGCUACUCAUCCUCUCCCGGCUGUGCCUGCGUAAGGGUGAGGCGGCGCGUGUCGAUCUCAGGAUCAUACACAUUGGUGAAGCAGCGCAUGCCUGCCUGCUCCUCCUCAACUGGGCGCUUGUGGAACAACGCGCAGAAGUCCUCACGGAAGGUGGUGAACGUCGUGAGGGACGUGAACUGCCGCAUGAAGUGAUGGCAGAACUCGUCAAGCGCGUUAUCCUGCAUUGAGCCGAGCUUGAGGUGCCACGGGUUGGUGCACCACUUGUUGCCACACAUGUGUCGGAUCGUGAAGGUGUUGGGCCCCUUGCCCGACGUGACUCGCUGCAGCUCCUCCAGCGUGCAGGGCAGGGGCACGCCAGCCGCGAAGUAGUCCGGUUCCAUGAACUGGAUGUAGCCGCAGCUGAAUGCCGUCAUGUGAUACACAAAUGCCUUGUUGGCCUUGGCCCCCGGCAAUGUGAAGUGGUGAGGCACGAUGCGCAUGUGGUCGUCAUACAUUCUGCGCGAGGGCGUCUGCCCCGAGCGGUCUGAUUGGCACAACACCCAGCAGUUUCCCAUGCCGUGCGAGUCGAGGCUGUCGAAUACAAGCUCGUCGGUACGCAUGGGGAUGACAAAGGGCUUGACCAUCUGGUUGCCAGCCACCUGCCAUGUCUCUGGUAUGGCCAGGGCCUGCGGGCAUGGCAGCAAAUGGCGGGAUGUCGACCUCGGAAUGAUCGAGCAUCACCCGGGGACGACCGAAAUGCAUGGCAGGGCAUACACACCUGUUUGGUGAAGCUGCCCACCUCCGCCAGCACCCCGCCUGGAGCCUGGAUGGUCAUGUUGAUGGGCUUGUCGAUGGGCUGACCGCCCACGAAAACGCGUUUGCCAUCCCACUCUGGCACGGCAUCAAUCACAGACUCCGGCACAGCCCACGCAAAGUUGGGCUCGAAACAACGGUCAAAUUGCUCCGGCUGGUCUUUGAACCAGCUGGCAAGCGCCUUGUACUGUGGGUUAGCGAGCAGCUCGACCUCCAUGGCUGAACAAGUGUGAGUGUGCUGUUUUCUGUGAGCCGUGCGGGAGUUAUAUAGCCUACGCGCCUAGCCCGAAGGACAUGACCAGGACAUGACCAGGAUGAUUCAACGACAUUCAACAUUGAUUCUGUAUUGGCCAGCAGCCGCGGUAAUUCCAGCUCCAAUAGCGUAUAUUUAAGUUGCUGCAGUUAAAAAGCUCGUAGUCGACUUUCGGGCGGGUUGCGCUGGUCCGCCUUUGGUGUGCACUGGCGUGUCCCGCUUUUCUGCCGGGGACAGGCUCCUGGGCUUUACUGUCCGGGACCUGGAGUCGGCGCUGUUACCUUGAGUAAAUUGGAGUGUUCAAAGCAAGCAUACGCGUGAACAUAAUAGCAUGGAAUAACGUCAUAGGACUCUGGCCUAUUUCGUUGGUCUGUGGGACCGGAGUAACGACCAAUGGGGGCAGUCGGGGGCAUUCGUAUUUCGUUGUCAGAGGUGAAAUUCUUGGAUUUACGAAAGACGAACUGCUGCGAAAGCGUUUGCCAAGGAUGCUUUCGUCGAUCAAGAACGAAAGUCGGGGGCUCGAAGACGAUUAGAUACCGUCCUAGUCUCAACCAUAAACGAUGCCGACUAGGGAUCGGCGGAUGUUCUUUUGAUGACUCCGCCGGCACCUCAUGAGAGAUCAAAGUGUUUGGGUUCCGGGGGGAGUAUGGUCGCAAGGCUGAAACUUAAAGGAAUUGACGGAAGGGCACCACCAGGCGUUAAGAAUGCUCUAGCGCCAGCGGGCUUGAAAAGAGCGCCGCUAGUCUCUCCGGAGGCGACACCGUCAAAUUGCCGGAAACUCCUGCUACGUCAGUGGUACCGCCCACAGUCGAAAGGCUGUCGGGGCACCGUAGGGAAACUUGCGGAUAUGGUAAAAAUCCAACUGAAUAGGGACAAUCGGCAGCCAAGCCCUACGGUCCGUCCGGACUAUGGGUGCAGUUCACAGACUAAAUGGCGGUGGGUUGGCUUCAGAUGAAGCUGGCUUAAGAUAUAGUCGGGCCGCUCCGAAAGGAGAGCCCAUGGGAGGACUGAGAGAAGCAAUUCCUUUGCCUAUCUCUGAGAGCCCAUGGGGAGCGAAGUAGUAGUCGGCGGAGCAACCCGCCGACGGCACCAGCGGCCUUUCGCUUGGACAACCGGGAGCCUGUGGCUUAAUUUGACUCAACACGGGAAAACUUACCAGGUCCAGACAUAGUGAGGAUUGACAGAUUGAGAGCUCUUUCUUGAUUCUAUGGGUGAAUUACCACUUGCCCAUGAAAGCGGUGCGAAAGCACUUAGCUAGUCCCCUCCCGGCCGUUAUUGCGAGGACGGGUUGGUGGGCGAGACAGUCGAAUUGCGGGGACGUCCUUAGAGCCUUUGCUACCAAGCCGGCGUGGAAACACAGUCGGUGGCCGAGCUAAUAGCCCUGGGUAUGGUAAAAACGCAAAGGAUUGGAUAAUCCGCAGCCAAGCUCCUAAGGGACCUCGCGUCCUAUGGAGAAGGUUCAGAGACUAAGUGGCUGUCGGUUCCCGACAAGUUCGGGAGCUUAAGAUAUAGUCCGGCUCUGUGGAGACACAGCCUUCAGAGGAACGUUCCUAGCAGGAACCGGAGCUGAAGGGGCGCCCGUCAUUGAGAGAUGACGGGUGGCUAGAGUAACCGGGUGGUGCAUGGCCGUUCUUAGUUGGUGGGUUGCCUUGUCAGG
rnacentral:rRNA from 1 species